rnacentral:lncRNA from 1 species
GAAACGAGUCUUGUAAGGAAGUUUUGCUGCCGAAGGAAGUAGAUACAUCUACUAUGCGUUUGCGUUGGUACUUGGGUGUGUUAAGGGAUUGUUUAUGCCUGGUGUUUGGUCAAGAUGUUUGGAUUAUGAAGGAACAUGGAAAUAAUGACUCGUGGGCUAAGUUGUAUAGUGUUUCUUUCAUGCGAGAUUUUCCUUCAUCUUUUGCCACUAUUGAAGUACUACAUAUUUUUAAGGAUGGCAGUUUGUUGUUGGAUUGUAUUUAUGAAGGGGAAAGGACACGGAAGUUGGUUUUUCACAAUUCUAGAAAUGGCACUUUUAAGUUUAGUGAGUCGAAAAUCAUGCGUGACGUAUGCGUUGAGAGUUUGAUAUCACCUUGUUCUUAAUGCUAGAAUGCAGAUGUGGGGCUAUAUCACUUGAGAGUGAGACUAAACUAAAACCUUUAUGUCAAUUUCUAUUUAGGAUAUUUAUUUUGUACUUGUUCUGAUGAUUGGUUACUUCAUGGAUUAUUGUUAAGGUUCAUUUGAAUAUGCAGUAGUUAUUUUUAUUUAUUUUUGUUAGAAGGUUUUGUUCUCUCAUGCCUUUCAUUUUAUAUAGUUCAAAAUCGUGCAUUGAUUUACUUGGUUUGAGGUUAGAUUUUCUAAUUAUCAACUUAGAUGUUAUCCCAAAAUCAUGUUUUUUAACAUGCCCUGGUCAUUGUGAAAAUGACAUGUCAUGCCUUUUACUAUUUGGUUCUUCUCAACAUGACUUAUCCCCAUACCAUUUUUUCUUACUUUUUCUGGUAUCCUUAAUGGAAGGGAAAACUUCUGCUAAGUAAUGUGGAGAUCAAGUUCAAGUCCACAUUCUGUCCAAAAUAUGAACAUUGAAUUAAAAUGAAAGAGAAGGAUGAGGAAUUAGUUCAUGACUUUGACUUCAAAGCCAUUUUUGGGAUGUACUUGAUGUGUGUCCUCGUAUUAAUAACAUAACAUGAUGCUGUUUAGUCUGAAUAUGUAGGUUGCAACUGAAAUUGUUUCACUAAUAGAAAAAUAUGUAGCAACUUUAAGCUAUUCUAGUUUUUUCUAAUAGACAUUGUCAUUUUUUUUAACUAGAAUAUUCUAGAAAUAUGUAUCAAUUUCAAAGGUUAUUGUUUCAAAGUGUAUUGUUGCAUUGCUUCCAAAUACUCUGCAUAAACACUGAAUGUUGCAUUGCUUCCAAAUACUCUGCAAAAUACAAGCAAACAGCGCCGCUUCAUCCCCUGAGAGCUGCUGUGGUACCUUGAAAAUAACAUCUGCUGCAGAAUUUGAAUCAUCACUAUCUUCUUACCUUAACUC